GACGAACCGAGCGAACGUUGUUCGGAAUAACUGGGCUUAAAGGGCGCGUAGGCGGGCCGCCAAGUGCGAGGUGAAAUCCUCCGGCUCAACCGGAGAACUGCCUCGAAUACUGGAGGCCUCGAGGCGGGUAGGGGCACGCGGAACUGUGGGUGGAGCGGUGAAAUGCGUUGAUAUCCACAGGAACUCCGGUGGCGAAGGCGGCGUGCUGGACCCGAUCUGACGCUGAGGCGCGAAAGCCAGGGGAGCAAACGGG
rnacentral:rRNA from 1 species